CGAGCCUCAGGGACCCCGCGUGCCGCGUGCCAGCGGCACCGGGAAGCCUGCGGCGGUCGGCGGGAUCCUGGCGCCGGUCUGCGGACUGGUCCUGAGAGCAAAAAGGGCCAUUGUCUGAUCAUUGGUAACAUGAAUUAUGAGAAAGUAUCUGAAUAUUCCUUGGUGAUAAAGGCAGAUUCUUCUGCCCUGAAAAAUUUCCACACUGGUCUUCUAUCAAGAGGAACUGUUGGCAUGAUGGGGAGAAGUUUAGAAACAUCCAUAGUUUCUCCCACAACUUCAUAGUCAGCUGCUAGAAAAUCAAAACUCAGCGUAAAGAAACCUCAGUUCAAGGGACCUUCACCAGCAACAUGUUUUGUGGAGAUAAGAGUUCUGGAAUAAAGUGAAUAUUUCCCAUCUCUAGCUGCAUCUGCCUUCCACCCUGAACAAGUCUGGUUGCUGACUACCACACCACCACAUACCAGUCAGUGAGUAUUGAUCUCUGUAUCUCCCUCUGGCUAGAACACCCUUCCCAACAUCACUCAAGAUUUUCUGGAAAAAUUACUUGUAUUGUUACUAAGACUCAGCUCAUGUGUCACUUUUUUCAUGAUAACUGUCCUAUCCCUCUUCUGUGGUGUCAGGGAGAUGUCCUACUCUGUAUCCCACUAAGUAGAAGUAACCUCUCCUUUCUGCCCUCUGUGAUCAGGACAGAGUCUUCUCACAACACCCAUCAGUUCUUACUGCAUCAUCUUCUAGUCCUGGCUUUAUUUCUAGUCUGUUGGUUCCUUAAGAGCAGAGUCUGAGUCUAGUUUAACUGUGACAUCUCUCUGUGACAUGUGAUCAGCACUUAGUAGAUGUUCAAUGCAUGUAUAUUGAAUGAAGACUUGAACAAAUGGAUCAGUGAGUGGAUGGGGAGUAGGUGAGUGGAUGGCUGAAUUAGAUAGGACAGGAAUUCCAACAAGAUUAAAAGUGAUUAUGUGUGCUUCCCAAGAUUGUAUCACAGUAAUUUGGGGGCUAAAACUCAAACACACAGAUCUUCUAGUAGAUUGCCUUUUCCUCUUUACAGAGCUGCCUUCUAAAAUUAAAAUGCUCUGCCUAGAGGUAAGCUCAAUGGUAGAGACAUGCUAACCAUGCAUGAGGUCCUGGAUUUGAUCUCCCAACACUGCAAAAUAACAACAAUAACAAUAAUUUAAAUGUCAACACUUAAAGCACUGAACAAAAG
ensembl:lncRNA